rnacentral:rRNA from 1 species
UACGGAGGGUGCGAGCGUUGUCCGGAAUCACUGGGCGUAAAGGGCGCGUAGGCGGCGCGAGUAGUCAACGGUGAAAGCCCGGGGCUCAACCCCGGGUCGGCCGUCGAUACUCUCGUGCUUGAGCACUGUAGAGGCAGGUGGAAUUCCGGGUGUAGCGGUGAAAUGCAUAGAUAUGACACAGAACACCGAUUGCGAAGGCAGCUGACGAAACUGUAACUGACGCUGAUGCACGAAAGCGUGGGGAUCAAACAGG